UACGUAUGGAGCAAGCGUUAUCCGGAUUUACUGGGUGUAAAGGGUGCGUAGGUGGUAUGGCAAGUCAGAAGUGAAAACCCGGGGCUCAACCCCGUGGAUUGCUUUUGAAACUGUCAAACUAGAGUAUAGGAGAGGCAAGCGGAAUUCCUAGUGUAGCGGUGAAAUGCGUAGAUAUUAGGAGGAACACCAGUGGCGAAGGCGGCUUGCUGGACUAAAACUGACACUGAGGCACGAAAGCGUGGGGAGCAAA
rnacentral:rRNA from 1 species